ACGUAGGUGGCGAGCGUUAUCCGGAAUGAUUGGGCGUAAAGGGUGCGCAGGCGGAAUAACAAGUCUGAAGUAAAAGGCAUUGGCUUAACCAAUGUAUGCUAUGGAAACUGUUAAGCUAGAGUGCAGGAGAGGGCAGUGGAAUUCCAUGUGUAGCGGUAAAAUGCGUAGAUAUAUGGAGGAACACCGGUGGCGAAGGCGGCUGCCUGGCCUGUAACUGACGCUGAGGCACGAAAGCGUGGGGAGCAA
rnacentral:rRNA from 1 species